GCAAGUCGAGCGAACGGACGAGAAGCUUGCUUCUCUGAUGUUAGCGGCGGACGGGUGAGUAACACGUGGAUAACCUACCUAUAAGACUGGGAUAACUUCGGGAAACCGGAGCUAAUACCGGAUAAUAUUUUGAACCGCAUGGUUCAAAAGUGAAAGACGGUCUUGCUGUCACUUAUAGAUGGAUCCGCGCUGCAUUAGCUAGUUGGUAAGGUAACGGCUCACCAAGGCAACGAUGCAUAGCCGACCUGAGAGGGUGAUCGGCCACACUGGAACUGAGACACGGUCCAGACUCCUACGGGAGGCAGCAGUAGGGAAUCCUCCGCAAUGGGCGAAAGCCUGACGGAGCAACGCCGCGUGAGUGAUGAAGGUCUUCGGAUCGUAAAACUCUGUUAUUAGGGAAGAACAUAUGUGUAAGUAACUGUGCACAUCUUGACGGUACCUAAUCAGAAAGCCACGGCUAACUACGUGCCAGCAGCCGCGGUAAUACGUAGGUGGCAAGCGUUAUCCGGAAUUAUUGGGCGUAAAGCGCGCGUAGGCGGUUUUUUAAGUCUGAUGUGAAAGCCCACGGCUCAACCGUGGAGGGUCAUUGGAAACUGGAAAACUUGAGUGCAGAAGAGGAAAGUGGAAUUCCAUGUGUAGCGGUGAAAUGCGCAGAGAUAUGGAGGAACACCAGUGGCGAAGGCGACUUUCUG
rnacentral:rRNA from 1 species